AGUUUACUUUACUUUACUUUACUUCAUUGUCAAUGCACCUCAUACAACGCAAUUAAAUACCAUCUUCAGCGUACAUUAUGAUUAUGAAAAUAAACAUAAACACACAUCCUUCACGUUCUAUCAAUUGAUGUUUCAUAGGUGUUUCUUCUCCCUUGGUCUCCCUAUCUGCUGCUCUUUCGGUUGUUUCCGUAAACGAGACGGAGAACGUGUCCGAUCGGCACGUAAGUCUUGUAAAAGCUACUCCCUAAAAUGCUCCCAGGUGCUGCGAACAUCCUUGGCCACUGAUUGGCUGAGGCCUUUCCGCCCAUUCGCUCCCUCGACUUUAAAUGCGUUGCCUGCGGGAAGCAGAUGUUGGGAGUUUGGAGUUCAUUGCAGUUUGGCUGAAGACGCGAAGCGGUAACGCGUUUGCCUCUGAGAAAAUCGCCUGUAGAACGAGAUUUAAACGGAGCCUGAAAAGGAUUCAGCGCAGCCCCGUUCGAAAAGAAAUUGGUGAUAUAGCCAGUAGAAGAAAGGACCCUUGUCUGUUGAGGAUAAAGUCAGCAGGAUGAUUCAACAGGCAGCCAAUAUCCAGUGCUCUAGUAAUGAACUUGUGGAUUAUAUGGAAGAGCUGUAUAUUCAGAAAAGAGAAGUAGACAAGCAAAUUGAAAAGUUAAUAAACAACAAGGCUAAGGUUCAGAAUGAAAUUGAGAUGUUAACCCAACAAAUGGAAAAUAUAUGUGGAAGUUUAGCUUGGAAAAAGGCUGUACAAAAGGAGCUUGAUGCCAUUCUUGUUGAUGGACUGUACACCUAUGACAAGAUUUUGGAGAGUUCUAAAAUGCUACUAAAUGCUUUGAAAGCAGAAAUUGAGAAUGUAGACAAAAUGAUAGAAUGGAAAAUGCAAUACUGUGAACCAUACUCAAACUAAACCAAUGUUAAUGAAUUAUUUAAGAAAUGCCAUAUUUUUUUGUUUUUCUAUUCACUUUAUUAAGUGAUCUUAUUAAUGGGUAAGAAAAGUUGUUCUCAAAUAAGUAGAAAUAAAGCAUCUGAAAAUGAAAAAGCACUCCAGCCUAAGUUCUAGAAUUGUCACAUAAAAAAGUGGGGACCAAAUGUUUUGCUUUAGUUCAAAUGAGAUGUUAAAAUAAGAUGUAAUUUAGAUGAUAAUGCCAUGGAUUACUUCAUUAAAGAAAAGCAGUUUGGGGGAAACAUAUUACUGUGGUCAGCAAUACCCAACCCAGGUUUUGGAAGGGAAAGCAACAUGUAAUGUAGAAAUGUUUGUAGAAUUGGUUUUGAGGGAUAUCACUGCCAGAAUUUUUCCUCUUAUUCCUCUAGAAGAGGCAAGGCAUUUAACUCCUUAAUUUCCCUUUAAGUCUUACACCCCUGUUCCGAGUAAAUAUGCAGAGGUGUAAAUUGAAAAUGUAAAGUGGGAGAGAAAUCCAUUUUUCUCUUUCCACAUAUCUUAUCUCUGGUGGAUCACUGCUGACUUUUUGUUCUGUGAAGGAUAUGCCCAAAUGCUGACUAGGUUG